rnacentral:sRNA from 1 species
GACGAAGCCCAUCCCCGGGUGCGGGAGGCGGGGAGGGGAGGGCAGGCAGAGGAUUUCGCUCGCUCGCCCGCGCGGGAUCCGGGACGCGCCGGUGGCGUCCGCUGGCAGCAGAGACUGUCAGUUUCGGAUCCAAGGACGGCGAUGGCAGAGCUCACCCGGGUUGCCUGUCAAAUCAAGGCUAUCGCAGAAUAAAUCCCGCCGCCUGCCGCGAAGCCCCAGCGCACCGCAAACUUCACCUUGCCUUACACCCAGACAAAACUCUCGUUGCAACUGGCCAAGUCGGGAAGGAGCCAUAUAUAUGCAUAUGGGAUUCCUAUAAUGUCCAGACUGUGUCUAUUCUUAAAGAUGUCCAUACACAUGGAGUUGCCUGCCUGGCUUUUGACUCAGAUGGACAGCGUUUAGCCUCUGUGGGGUUGGAUGCCAAAAACACAGUCUGCAUUUGGGACUGGAGGAAGGGAAAACUUCUGGCCU